GGUGACCCAGAUGAGCAAAAAGUAGGAUAGAAGAUUUCCUUUCAUCUGUAGAAACACUUCAGGCGUGCUUCGUGUGUUAUGAAGGGAAAACAAAAGUUGCAUGAUGAGAAGCUUCUCAGUCAUGACUUCUGAAAACUAAUAACCUUAGUGUGCUCCUAAGACACAGCCUUCUAAGAUUGAAGGACAUAAUCUUAACUGUUUUUUACCUUUUUUUGGAAACAUCUAAGGAAAAACUAGAAACUGCGAUGAUAUAUGAAAACCUGACAGUGGGAAGCCAUGCUUGUGAAGAUUGAGUACACAAACAGUUUAUAGUGUCCUAUUUGAAGAACAUAGCCACUGCCGAACAGCUUGAGGCUGACUUCUUCAUAGUGACUUUAUCUGGACAAAUACAGGAAAA